rnacentral:rRNA from 1 species
UACGUAGGGGGCAAGCGGUUGUCCGGAUUUAUUGGGCGUAAAGAGCGUGUAGGCGGCUAGAUAGGUCCGUUGUGAAAACUCGAGGCUCAACCUCGAGACGUCGAUGGAAACCAUCUGGCUAGAGUCCGGAAGAGGAGAGUGGAAUUCCUGGUGUAGCGGUGAAAUGCGCAGAUAUCAGGAAGAACACCCGUGGCGAAGGCGGCUCUCUGGUACGUGACUGACGCUGAGACGCGGAAAGCGUGGGGAGCAAACAGG